rnacentral:piRNA from 1 species
UUAUAAUGGAUCGCAUGUAGCUGUGCUUU